GAUGAACGCUGGCGGCGUGCCUAAUACAUGCAAGUCGAGCGAACGGACGCGACGCUUGCUUUUCUGAUGUUAGCGGCGCACGGGUGAGUAACACGUGUAUAACCUACCUAUCAGACUGGGAUAACUUCGGGAAACCGGAGCUAAUACCGGAUAAUAUUUUGAUCCGCAUGGUUCAAAAGUGAGAGACGGUCUUGCUGUCACUUAUAGCUGGAUCCGCGCUGCAUUAGCUAGUUGUUAAGGUCACGGCUUACCAAGGCAACGAUGCGUAGCCGACCUGAGAGAGCGAUAGGCCACACUAGAACUGAGACACGGUCCAGACGCCUACGGGAGGCAGCAGUAGGGAAUCUGCCGCAGUGGGCGAAAGCCUGACGGAGCGACGCCGCGUGAGUGAUGAAAGUCUUCGGAUCGUAAUACUCUGUUAUUAGGGAAGAACAUAUGUGUAAGUAACUGAGCACAUCGUGACGGUACCUAGUCAGAAAGCCACGGCUAACUACGUG
rnacentral:rRNA from 1 species